AGCACUUCAUUUAUGGUUGGCACGAAGCCAGUGAGAGCACAAAAAAGAUCAACUGCAUUGAUGGCCAUUAAUUGUCCACAACUGUUAAUAAUCUUCAGAAAAUGGCUGUGUUCAGUGUUCAGCUGAUGCGGGGAUUGUCAUGUUGGUUUGAUGAAGAGCAUGCAACCAAACUUAUCCAUGAAAUAAUGCAGCUGAAAGACCAAAGACUUCCUGCUCAUCAUCAUCAACUUAAUAGUCCAUAGAUUGUUCUGCUUGGUGGUGGUCACUCAGGUCAUCUCAGAAGCUUAAAUUGGAUCCAAGCUUGACAAUUUGCAAUCUGUAUGUUCAUUUUUGAUGAGAAAUAUCUCCCCUUGUCAAGUCUUGAUGAUGAGUUGUGCAUACUUUGCUGCUCUUUUUGCUCCCACCAUCACUAUCCUCACAUUUGGCUUGUCCAAAUGGGUGAAGCUCACCUGUCGGAGAUAAGGCAGUGUCUGUAUGCUAUAGAAAAAUGAAAGUGAAUUCAUACAAGAAAGAGAACUGAUGGAUGAACUUGUUUUCGUGUCUGUUGACACAGAGAGCUAUUCUUCCUCAUGCUUCAGUCAGUAUGCAUACCUUUUCUCAUGGUUGAAGAAGAUGAUGAUAAUAUCAAGCUCACAUGAGACUCACUUUUUCUUAGAUACUGAAGAGAUGCUCGUGUCUAGAGAAACCAGCUUUCAUCUUUUCUCUGACAUUUGCAGGUACUGCAUGGACCAGAAAAUUACUGCAAAUAACAGAAAGUAUUCCUCCAAAUUAACUUCCCCAGAAAUAUUACAUCCGACCUGAAGAAACCAAGGCUAGUGGUCAUCACGUUGUUCACACAAGUGGUGGAUCCAUCGAUGCCCGUGAUUCUUAUCCCAACUCUCAUUUCUUCUCAGAAGAAGCUGCAAGAUAGAAAUGAUUAGACCUUUUUGGGGAUCAAACGUCCAAGCUCAUCCGUCUGGCAGCUUCCAAAGUGUCUUGAAUGUGGAUCUGUGCUUGAUGUUUCCCUGUCAAGUCUUGAUCUGUUCUCAGACACCGGAGGAUGAGUGUUGCAGAUGAGCAAGGAUCUCAUGCUGUUCAUUCUCGUCACUUCUCAGUGCAAUUAUUCCAUGGGGUCUCUCUCCACAGUGGCUUUUCCGAUUCAGUAGUGAGCUGCAGCAUCACCUGGAAAUGGAAAACUCCUGCAAUGUUUUGAAGAAGUAUUAUAUAUUGGAGUUUUCUCCAUGUCAUGAUCAGAAACUUGCUCUCAAGUUUCACCGACUGUAAACACUUACAGAAAUGACUCAAUCAUGUCACCCAAACCCUAAACUUCUACCUUUUUGUUGAAGCAGUUGCUGCUGUGUAAUUGUGUUAGUAUAUUCCACAAAGACAAAUGACAAACGAAAUGAUCAUGAUCUCAAAUCCAUGCCUGACACAGGACCAAUGAAGCCAAAGAUGUCAAUGCCAGAAUCCCAUCAGCUUUUGGUUUGUGGUGAUACCACUCUUCCUGUAAAGAUGUCUCAAGUAUAUGAACUUUUUUCUUUCUGCUUAAAGAAAGAAGUAUAUAUCUGAAUACA
rnacentral:lncRNA from 1 species